UUUUUUUUCCUUCUCCUCGUCUUUGUCUUCUCCGUGGAAUCCGCAUCUGCCUUCCCUAUUCGCCUCCUGCUCCUCCACAGUCUGCUCCCAUGCUCCUCCAUCCCCGUGUGCCCUCACCGCCAUGCCACUCCACCCCCGCGCCAAUCCUCUGCCACCGCUGCUGAGGGUGGGCUGCGGGGAGCGCGAGGAGAAGGUUUGUUUGAUAGAGAAAGGAACCGCGACGGCGCAAGUGGAUCCCGGCAGCGAGCUCCGGUUACGCGUCGGCCGGGGACGGCGGCAGCCGCGGCACGCAGUGCGGGCGCAGGCGGCGCUGGGAGACGGGCGAGCUCCAUUGAGUAUUCCAAUAUGACCCUUUAUUAAUGUUGGGCAGCUCCAUAAGUUUUAUGUAUAUGCUUAUGUGCUUUAAAAAACAUGAUUAAUAGAAUCUUUUUAAUAUGACCAGAAAAUCAAUACUAAGAAUUAGUUUGUUAGUCAACAAUACACAGUGUCUUACUAUACUACUUGAUAAUAGACAGUCCUGCUUGCCAUCUCAUCUCAUUUGAAGCGCAAAUGAAAACUUUCCUGUAAAUCCACCACCCAGUACUAAAUUUCUAUCCUGUUGUAGUUGGAAGAAAGGUGCAUGGUGUGCCUGUUGAUUCUUUUUCUUCGGAUUCUUUUUCAGAAGCACUCAAACACAUGCAUGCACAAGCAAAUCAUCUUAACUGCUGCUAUUUUCUAUUCUUUUAUGCUUGUGGUGCCACAGCUGGAUCAUGGAAGUGUUCAUUGACUAUGCUAUUUUGGAGAAUCAUCCAGGAUGCUCUCUAUAUUAUAUUGUAUUGUACUAGCUUUUGUGCAUCGGAUGGAGAAACAUAUAUCUGAAGGUUGAACCAUCACAUAGUAUAUUAGUACAUGUAUGGAAUAUUUGUUCUUUGAACGUUUUGAUUACUCUUUUAACGGAGAGACCAGUGUGUGUAAGAGUGGAUCAACAACUAUGGGAGCUUAACUAGCAUAGUAAUUACUUUCUAAAUAAUUAUUAGUAGAUAUGAAACCCUGAUUCAUUUAUAGAUUUUUUCAGGCCCUGAUCAUGUUGGGCUCCUUUGCCAGGGCCUGCAAGCUGCUAUAUGAGUAUAUGACCAUGUGUGUUGGUUUAGGAACAGGGGUUCCAUUUAGGCUGAAUGCUCUGGGGAUGAUGAGAAAAGCAGAGAAAACAUGUAGGCAUCAGAUGAUGUGGAAGCUGUGGGUAAUUGAUCUCCCGUGUAAGUGCUUCCAUGUAUCUAAAUUACUAGAACAAUCCAUCUCAAACAUGAAAUCUACGUGUCUUUUCCUCGCUUUGCAAAGUUGGGAAGUAUCUUUACCUGUGAGCUGUGAUGACAUGGUCCUAUCAAGGGAUGCAAAAAAAAAAAAGUGUGGUUUCAAAAAAGAAAACCACUUAAGCAGGAAUUGAUAUUCUCAUUAAAAAUACCUUCAGCUUUUGGAAACUUCCUAUGUGAUAUGUGCACUUCUAGGGGCCCUGGCAGGUUAGAAUUAUGUUGAUUUCAACUUUCUAGAUUUUGGAUAAGACUCAUGGCCUAUGUUUCAAUAGGAUAAUAUCACAAUUAUAAGCUCUUAUAUUUUUUUGUACAGAAAUUGAGAUUAUAAUGAUGCCCUUUAUUUCUUAUGGUACUGUUAACCGCCUCAAUGCCUUCAUCAGAUGCCUUCAUUCAUUCUUCUGCUCAUCAUCUUUGCCUGCUACUAAUUUUCCACGAGUUUUGAUCUAAAGGUUUUAGCAUUCUGCUCUCUUUCAACUAAAACUGGUAUGAGGAGAAACUGAUCCCUCUUUUCUGUGGCUCUGGAGGUCAUGCAGCCAACUAAAGCAGAAAAUCUUUUUCUGGUUACUCCUAAGGGACCGACUAAAUGUCAGAGGAAUGCUCUGAAGAACUAUGCAUCUAGAUGACUAUAGCUGUGUUUUCUGCUCCAAUCAAGAAGAUGAGACAAUUGUGCAUCUAUUCUUGGGCUGCCCCUUUGCAUAGCAAUGCUGGAGUAGCAUUGGCCUUCACAUUCAGUCUGAUUUGAGUCCCUUGGUACUCCUAGAAGAUCUACGUCAGCAAAUUGCAGAAUCCUUCUUUAUGGAAGUAAUCAUGCUCAUGUCUUGGAGUAUUUGGACAUCGCGCAACAACUUCAUAUUCAGGAAUGAAGUCUUCUCAAUCCAUGGGACCAAAGUUUGUUUCAUACGAGAAUUUGCCUUGGUUAUCCAUAGAGCAAAAAAGAAUUAUUUCCCAAGCAUUGUACAAUGGCUAGAGUCUCAGUCUUAGGUGUUAGUGCUUGACUUCUACUUUUCAGCUCUUUCUGUAUAAACACUCUCUGUACUCUCUUUUGUUUUUAAUACACAUAACCAGUAGGGGAUCACACCCCUCCUGUUACAUUAAAAAAAAACUGGUUACGAGAUCAAA